CAUUAUUGACAAAAGACUCCAAGACGAGGAUGCCAGUAGUACCCAGCAGAGGCGCCAGAUAUUUAGAGUUAAUAAAGAUGCUUCAGGGAGAUCUACAAAUAGCCAUCAAAGCAGCACUGAGAAUGAGUUGAAGUACUCGGAACCACGACCCUGGAGCAGCACAGAUUCAGACAGCUCUCUUCGAAACCUGAAACCUGCUGUAACCAAAGCCAGCAGCUUCAGUGGAAUCUCAGUCCUGACAAGAGGUGAUAGUUCUGGAAGCAGCAAAAGCAUAGGCAGGCUUUCAAAAACAGGUUCUGAGUCUUCUGGUAGUGUAGGGUCAUCUACAGGCUCUCUUUCUCACAUCCAGCAGCCUCUUCCAGGUCAGCCCUUCAUAAACCCAGAUGGGAGUCCAGUUGUGUAUAAUCCUCCUAUGACUCAACAACCAGUUAGAUCCCAAGUGCCUGGACCUCCACAGCCACCUCUGCCAGCCCCACCUCAACAACCAGCAGCUAAUCACAUUUUCUCACAGCAGGAUAACCUAGGGUCUCAGUUUAGCCACAUGAGUCUUGCUCGC
rnacentral:lncRNA from 1 species